GGAAAUUUAGGUCAAGGACGCCGGGAGCACACCCACACCCUGCGCUCCCAGGGCAGUCCUCGAGAACCCCGGGAUCUGGGGGGCUUGCGGAUGGAGGAGACCCUCAUGCACGAACACCAGCCACAAGUUUUAUUUUCCCUUCGCGCGGCAAGUUCUCUGGCUCCCGCUCCACACUGGCACGUCCUGCACGGCUCCCCGCCCUUCCCCGGCAGAGGCAGAAGUCAGUGGCUACCUUCCUGAUGUAGACUUGAACAAACUGUUAAGUGGUGAGCUGGGAGGAGACCUGAUGGGGCGGGGCCCCGAGCACUGCAGUGUCCAAGCCAGAGACUGAUAAAGGACUAAAGGAGAAGGCUACUACGUCACUCCACUGUUUUUCUUAAGAUUUGGAAAUCUGGUGUUUUGGCUAACGAGUUGUGUUCCUCUUCGCCUCUUAUGACUCUCCUUUCUCACCUCCAGUUCAAAAUGACUGCAAGCAGCCAAGCCACCAACUCCGUCUUGAUGAAAGGGGCCGGGCUCCCAGAAGAAAAUAGCUUUGCCUUUCAACUCCACCUGGAAACGGUUGACAUGGCGCUACCUUCACUCAAGCCUCUCCACUAGCCUUGGCGCUUCCCCCAUCUCUGCCAAGGCUGGCCCCUGCCAAGCCAAUCUAAAUAUCACAGCUGGAAGUACAGGGUCUCCCCCGCCCCCAACCCUUUCUCCCACACUCUAUCCGUUGUACCUUGGGACCUUUCAACAUUCUCUAUAGUCAUUCUGAACACCCGCACCCUGCCCAUCCACUACGGCAACAGGCUCACAGACCCACAACUACACAUUAGUUUUUUAAAAAAACUUUUGUUCCCCCUUUGCACAAUACAGGAGGUGGCCACAGCAGCCGGACACAGCACCGCAACAGUGUUAACUCCAUUAUGUAUUUGUAUCUCCAGAAGGCCAGUCCAACAAAAUCUCCAACAAAAUUGCCACUUAAUAGAAGAAACGCGCACUUUGGAGGACUGUGGGUGAGCGCGCCCUCUACUGGUGAUCAGAGGAAGUGCUUUUUACUGUAGGUUCCCUCUUCUGGUGGAGCAGGGAAAAAAAAGACUGUCUCUCCAGAGUUCAAGUUCCUGCUCCCAAAUUCUGACAUCUAAAUCUCCCCAAUUUAGGGGUUUCCUGUAGCUGAUGCCAAGACCCACCACGAUAGCCCAUGCUGCAAUUUCUACAAUUAAUACCAGUCAGCU
ensembl:lincRNA C030037D09Rik RIKEN cDNA C030037D09 gene